UCCAGGAUUCACACCAUUUCAUCUGUUAGCUACCUCGGAAAUGAAGGUCUGCUUUGUGCUUCUGCUGGUCCUUGUGGCUACAGCUUCAGCUGCUCCCACUGAAGCUGACAAAAGAUUUUUAAUUAACUUCGACAAAAUUGUUCAACAACUAAGAGACUACGUGAAGAGUCAUCCUGGAGAUGCCAAGGCUGUUUGCAAGACAGGUUGUCUGGCGAUUGCUGGUUCUUUCAGCUUCCUGUGUAACGAUGGAUGCAACAUCAUCGUGAAUGAAAUAAACGGAUGAGCGGAUGCAAGGCCUGACCUUUCUCAAGUCUGUAUUGCCGAUAUUUCAAAUAAGAUCGAAGAGUUGAAAACAAGUUAAGCACUUCAUUUUUUGUUUGAAAAUGGUGAAAAUGAAAUAAAUCUUUUAAAAGCAG